CUAGAUGUAGGGUUACGGGCUGUUAUAGGUGCGUGGUCCAGAUGCCUUGGAAGUUGGCUGUGGUUCAACCCACAAAUCGCAAGUCUAACCUACUCAAAAAACUGAGUCCGAAUUAGUUUCUUUGGCUCCAAACCUCAAGUAGUUUGGAUCUAGGAUUGGACCACAUGGAUAUGCCAAGCAAUUCUAAUUCUAACUGACUUGGAUCAGGCCUCAGCUUCUGAACAAGUGCUCACCCUCCUGGAGAAAGGGAGAGUGCCACAGAGAGAGAG
rnacentral:lncRNA from 1 species